rnacentral:rRNA from 1 species
CCUACGGGAGGCAGCAGUGAGGAAUAUUGGUCAAUGGACGAGAGCCUGAACCAGCCAAGUCGCGUGAGGGACGACGGUCCUAUGGAUUGUAAACCUCUUUUGUCGGGGAACAAAGGCGCCCACGGGUGGGCGGAUGAGUGUACCCGAAGAAAAAGCAUCGGCUAACACCGUGCCAGCAGCCGCGGUAAUACGGAGGAUGCAAGCGUUAUGCGGAUUUAUUGGGUUUAAAGGGUGCGUAGGCGGACAGUCAAGUCAGCGGUAAAAAUGCGGUGCUCAACGCCGUACAGCCGUUGAAACUGGCAGUCUUGAUUGGGCGAGAAUUCUGCGGAAUGCGUGUUGUAGCGGUGAAAUGCUUAGCUAUCACGCAGAACUCCGAUUGCGAAGGCAGCAUACCGGCGCCCUACUGACGCUGAGGCACGAACGCGUGGGUAUCGAACAGGAUUAGAUACCCUUGUAGUC